UCUCAUCACCCUGUGACAUACCUAAAACGUUGCUUCGGCGGGAACAGACGGCCCUGUAACAACGGGCCGCCCCCGCCAGAGGACCCCUAACUCUGUCUUUAUAAUGUUUUUCUGAGUAAACAAGCAAAUAAAUUAAAACUUUCAACAACGGAUCUCUUGGCUCUGGCAUCGAUGAAGAACGCAGCGAAAUGCGAUAAGUAAUGUGAAUUGCAGAAUUCAGUGAAUCAUCGAAUCUUUGAACGCACAUUGCGCCCGCCAGUAUUCUGGCGGGCAUGCCUGUUCGAGCGUCAUUACAACCCUCAGGCCCCCGGGCCUGGCGUUGGGGAUCGGCGGAAGCCCCCUGUGGGCACACGCCGUCCCUCAAAUACAGUGGCGGUCCCGCCGCAGCUUCCAUUGCGUAGUAGCUAACACCUCGCAACUGGAGAGCGGCGCGGCCAUGCCGUAAAACACCCAACUUCUGAAUGUUGACCUCGAAUCAGGUAGGAAUACCCGCUGAACUUAAGCAUAUCAAUAAGCGGAGGA
rnacentral:rRNA from 1 species